rnacentral:lncRNA from 1 species
UGGCUGUAUAUGAUACUAAAGCAAGAAAUAAAUAUAGCAACAGUACCUUCAAAAUAGUUUUUGACCUUCUAUUUGUCCCCUUUAGUUUUUACUUGACAGUCAAGUAUUUUGGUAGAAGAUUUCAGUAUAUUUUCAACCUGAGACCUGAGUGGCUGUCUUACAUGUACGUAUUUGUUUUAGCUCAUGGGUAACACAGCUCUUAUAGAAACUAAAUCAAACUAAACCACAACUGUAAUCAGGCUUAUCUCACAUUUCAGAAGAUUUCUAAAAUUUAGGUGGGCGUUUAGUAGACAGAAAAUAAAACAAAAAUGUGAAUGAAUCUCAAUCUAAAUUAUGUUUGAUUCAAAUCAUUGCUUGGAUGGUUCUUAUUUUUUAAUGUUAGGUCUCUUGUGCCAAAAUCACAGACCAACUCUUUUGCUAAUAGCAUGUGUUUCUAUGGGGGAUUUCUUUUUCUUAUAGCCUGAAUUCAAUGCAGUCUGAUCACCAAAGCAAGGUAAUACUGGCCCAGCAUGCAUGUGAUUUAAAUACACAAGGCUUGCAUUUAAAGAACAUUUAAUAUCCUCUUAGUUGCCUUGAGGUAAAAGAGAGUCCCCAAAUCUAGUCUUUUGUGCUUCUGCAGGGAUGGAAUAAUGGAAAAUUAAGAUGGAUUCCUCUGACUAUGGACUUCAAUCCCAGUGAGCUAGAUGAGGAGUACAGUCUAUUGACCCUUUUCUCUUUUUCUGCCCCUGUGCAAGGAGAGCCCAAAAGCAAAACCUGUAGAAAAUAGCUAAAUGUUCAUCCGUUAGCAUUUUACCACUCAGGUACCACUAAUACAAAUUCAAAAAAUGCUAAUAAAGUCUGAAAUUUCCCAGUAGGGGAGUAAUGGAACACUUUUUAAAAAGGCACUUUCAGUUAAUGACUAAGGCAUUUUUUGCUAACAGCAAUUUUGGCUUCUUAUCCCAGGUGGAGAAAAAAUGCAUUAAACAGGAGAUUAAAAUGUCCUUUCAACUGCUUGGUAAUGCCAGCUGCUGCUGCAGGCUAAGGCAUCCAUGAAGUGGCAUUUAGUUGAUGGUGGUUCUGUUCCAGGGAUGGAGCAAGUAUGAAAAUCCCGCUGGACGGGGGUCUCUUUAAAUAUGCUGUAUACGCACAAAUAGCAAGUGUAGGAGCUGGGCUAGGAUGGUAAACUGUACAAUCUGUUCAUUGCAUUUUGGUUGCUAAUUAAGAGGUGACAUACAGUAUGAAUGCACAGAACCUGUUGAAAUUCUGUCAGGCUCUGUCUUUGCUUUCACAUGUUUGAAUGCUAUUUAAUAAGGCAUCUUAAUUGAAAGCAGAGAAAUACAUAAAAGUCGAGGACAAAUAUGUUGGAUUAGGAUUCUGCGACAACGUGUGUGCGUAUUCAUGAUUUCUAACCCCUUGGUGCUUCUCUCUCAGACAGCUCCUCUACUUCAUAAGCACAAUAUGCAAAUUCCAUGAUUUUCUUCUUGCUGUGGGGGAUAGAACCCGAGUGGAAAGUUGGAAACAGAACUUGCAAACACAAAUGUGAACUUAACAGUGACUCUGACAUAAAGGAAAAAUGGUUUCUCUUGCCAAGAAAUACCGUUUUUUAUGAGGAGUGUUUAAGUAAAGAAGAUGGAAAAAAAGGGAGGGCACUGUUGCUUUUAACAAUGUAUUGUGUGUGUGUAUUUUUAUAGCUGAAUGCAUAUUUUCUCUCAGACUAUCUUUAGUGUAUGAAGCCAGAUUAAUACUGAACUUUAUUUCCUGCAAAUUGGCUUCAUAUAGUAAACAUAAUGAAAACAGAAAAAAACUAGAGCAGAAGCAAAGCCAUCGGUCUCUGUGAAGCUGGUAGUGCCAAAACCAGGAGAAUGCUGAAGGUCAGCAUGAGGAAUUGAGAAUUGUAUAUCUAUGUUUCAGUUUUGUUGUUUGUAUAUAGGGGUUAAUUACUGAGUUAAAAGGUGUGAAGCACUUUGAAUUUGCCUGGCAUACAAGUGUUCCAAAGCAUUCGUUCCAUCUUCUGUGGAGGUUAUUACUUAGUCCUUGGAAGUGCCAAUUGAUUUAGAAAAUCUCCUUAAAGUAAGUUUUCUCCUUAGAAUGCUCAUUGCCCAUGCUUCCCUCUUGAGCUAAAAUUAUUUGAAUUUGUUUCUCUUACGUUAACUAAAGACUCCUGUUCUAUCUCUCCAAAUGACAGGUAAAAGUUUGCAUUAUUUAAGCAACUAUAUAUACACCCACUUUAACAAUCAUGUAGCAAUAGCUUAAAAAGAUAUCUUUUGAGUUUUGAAGGUGCCUUUUCAUUUCCAUUUGUACUGUUCUCAUCUUCCCAGUCUCCUGGUUUAUUCUGCUCGUAGAAUUGAAUAGAGGAGUUCCCAUUAUGGCUUAGUGGGUUAAGAAUCUGACUAGCAUCCAUGAGGUUAUAGGUUCAACCCCUGGCCUCACUCGGUGGGUUAAGGAUCCAGCAUUGCCACAAGCUGUGGUGUAGGUUGCAUAAGCAACUCGGAUCCUGGCAUUGCUAUGGUUGUGACAUAGGCCGGCAGCUGCAGCUCUGAUUUGACCUCUAGCCCAUGAACUUCCAUACGCUGUAGGCACAGCCCCCCAAAAAAGAAUUGAGUAGAAUCCUCAUUUGAUGCCCACAUCUACUGACACUUCUCAAACUGCAUCAAUAUCUAAGCCAAAGACAUACAAACUACUGUGCCUGAGCAGGAAUUUAAUCUGGAGCAUUGACUUCAUUUGAGAUACAUAAACCCUCUGAUUUUUAGACCUAGAAUAGCCUGAAUUCAUAGUCCACUGAAACUCUGAGUUAAUGAUAAGACAUUGGAAAUAGCUAUACAUUAUUAUAUAAAUAACUGAGGAGUAACUUGAGUAAAUAACUUCAGCAAAUGUAUUAUUCAAUUUUUAAAAAAUCAUCACAUCCAUAGCAAUAAGGACUGAUUGAUACCUACUUCAGCAUAUGAGAGUCAGAAUUUAAAGACUAGGAAAACUGAAUAGUGAUGGGUGGUGAUUUGCAACUGUUUAGGUGAGUCUAGAGACAGGGAGGAAGGAAUGGAAGUUGGCUUGUGUUCACUUGUGAGAUUUGAUCCAGUCUCCGUAGCCAAAAUCCAGACAACUUUAUGUUAUGAUAGAGCAUUUUUAAAAAUAUUAAAUCUCCAAAUUAUUAGAAAGUCUGUUGUGAUGAUUUGCCAUAGUUUUAGCACUGUCUUUUGUCAAUACUGGACAUAGGAUUCUCAAGAAAUACUAUUGCCAGGGCACUUAAAUGUAUGAGGUACGCGCCUUGAGGCUAAAGUCAGGAUGAGCUGAGAUGACCUCCAAGGCAGCCUUGAAAUUAAUUCCCUAACUUUCCAACAGUAAAUCAGAGAAGUUGUGCACAAAGUUCUAUGUAUGCUGAGGUGCUCUGAAAUUCUUUCACUUAUUAGGAAAACUGUAAAUGUUAUUAGAGAUUUCAGACUCUUAAUAACUAAGAAACUAAAACCAUACCUAUACCCUCAGUUACAAGUCACUUUACAGUGUUACUUACCGUAAGAAUUUAGUUUUCCUUGGUAAGAGCCAGUUAAAAACAUAGCAAUUACAUGUUCUUACAGAUUACUCGGUGACUCUAUUUCUAAACUUUGCAUGACUUGCCCUCUGAUUUUACAACCGAAAUAAUCUCGUUACCCUAUAAUUACUUGCUAUGUAAAUACCUGUCAAUAGAUGAUUGACUCUGGCCAUUUCCAGUUAAUUAGAAGGUCAACACCGACACAUAAAUACUUUUUUAUUCAAUGAUAAUAUUUAAACCUAUAACCACAAAGGUAGUUUAGUAUCCAAGACAAAUUUAUUUUUGCUGUGCACACUGAGAUACACAAUAUGAAUUUGAUGUCAUGGCCAUGUAACAUCAAAUUCCCCACAUGGCAAUUAUAAAUGUUAAGUCAUUUGUAGAUAAUAAUAACGUAAUAAAACACAUAGAAAUGUUGCAUUAAAUUAUUAACCAUGUAUAAGUCUAUUAAAUUAUUAUAUAGAUUAGGUAACAAUAAGGAGUAGGACAAAAUCAUUCCAGAGGCUUUUUAUUCAGUUGCAAAAUGUACAACUAUUUGUCCUCAUAAUUCUUCUCCUUUGAGUAUAGGAGAUAAAAUAGGAAGCAGAGAGGGCUGGGGCUUAUGAUAUGUAGUCCUCUCAUCCUAGGCGAGUCUGUGGGGAUAAAAGGGUGAAAUGGAGCAGAAAGACAGAAGAGGUCAGAUGGGUUAUGUGGCAGGAGUAAAGAGCAGGCUAAUUGAAUUUACAAAUGAUAUGACAUUGGGAGUUGUCAGGAACACAGGGGAAGACACAUUCUGUGAGUACUGGUAGAUGACUUAACUUGAGUUUGAGUAAGUUGACAUUCUGGAGCUUGGAACAUUUAUGGUUUGCAUGCUUUGGCUCUGCUUUUUCUUUGAUGUCACAUUUAUUAGUAGCUGUCUUUGAAAAUAACCAAUGAUUAUUCCACUGGCCAUUCAACACAUGUGUACCCAAAAUGUUCUUGCCCUUUUUCACCCCAAGGAAGGACUCAGGGAUGAAAAUAAAUAUAUUCAUUACUUUUCAUAGCUUUAAAUACACACUUGCCCUGGAAUGUUUUAGUUAAGUGUAGGACACACAGCAAUUUUGGAUUUGGGGAUGUUACCUGGCCCUUAAUUUGAAUUUUUUUUACAAAAAAAAACCAUUCAGAAUUUAAUCUGAAGGAGAAUACCAUGGAUAAAUUUUGCAGAACAAAAGCACCCUUUAAAUAGGCCCUAUAAAAGAGAUGGAAAAUAGAGCAGGUUUUUUUGGUAAAUUGGUAGCUUGAAACUGCCCCAUCCCUCUUACCGUUACAUUAGGGAGGAGAAAUACAUUUACACUUCAAAGUGUUUGGCCUCCUUUGCCAUAUAUGAAAUGUCUCAUUCUUACCUGAAUCAACUGUGGCAUCAUUUUGGAGUGAUGCAAAGUGUCUGGCUGGCUGUCAGUCCUGGAAGGCAGAGUACCUUCCCUGCAAUGGCUGGUGAAUGAGAGGUGGUAGGAGUGUGGUCCUUUAUGCUCACCCUCAUUAACCUUCUCUUGCUUCACCUCUUUUCCACACAGCUCUAGUAGCUC